rnacentral:rRNA from 1 species
GAUGAACGCUAGCGGCAGGCCUAAUACAUGCAAGUCGAACGGGAUCUGAGGGUAGCUUGCUACCCGAUUUGAGAGUGGCGCACGGGUGCGUAACGCGUGAGCAACCUACCCAUAUCAGGGGGAUAGCCCGAAGAAAUUCGGAUUAACACCGCAUAAUAAUACGCUAACACAUGUUGAUGUAUUUAAAUAUUUAUAGGAUAUGGAUGGGCUCGCGUGACAUUAGCUAGUUGGUAAGGUAACGGCUUACCAAGGCGACGAUGUCUAGGGGCUCUGAGAGGAGAAUCCCCCACACUGGUACUGAGACACGGACCAGACUCCUACGGGAGGCAGCAGUAAGGAAUAUUGAUCAAUGGGCGCAAGCCUGAACCAGCCAUGCCGCGUGCAGGAUGACUGCCCUAUGGGUUGUAAACUGCUUUUGUUAGGGAAUAAACCUUCUUACGUGUAAGGAGCUGAAUGUACCUAAAGAAUAAGGAUCGGCUAACUCCGUGCCAGCCGCCGCAGUAAUAC